GGGGCUGACAAAGCUUAGACAGUUUGUUAACAUAUACCAGGCACGACGAUUGAUACCGUAAGUAUUGAAUAAGUGAAGAAAAAACUUCCAAGCACGUGCUUUAUGCGCCUGCUUUCGCCUAGUAUAAUUUAAGGCGUGGUUCAAACGUGAGGUCUCAUAGCGUUUUGAAUUAUCAUACUUAUGAGGAUUGAGGUUAUUCAGUGGCGAGAAUGGCCUUGAAACAUCGCUAUGGUGCUCUAAAAGUCCUUGUCUAUCCUCCUUUAGGGUAAAGCCGAGAUAAUUGAAUAGACUAUGCGUGUAGAAUGGUAUAAUGAAGACUUGCUGGACGGGGAGGCAGUAUCCCCCAGCUCCACCA
rnacentral:tmRNA from 1 species